rnacentral:rRNA from 1 species
GUGCCAGCCGCCGCGGUAAUACGUAGGUGGCAAGCGUUGUCCGGAUUUAUUGGGCGUAAAGCGAGCGCAGGCGGUUUCUUAAGUCUGAUGUGAAAGCCUUCGGCUCAACCGAAGAAGUGCAUCGGAAACUGGGAAACUUGAGUGCAGAAGAGGACAGUGGAACUCCAUGUGUAGCGGUGAAAUGCGUAGAUAUAUGGAAGAACACCAGUGGCGAAGGCGGCUGUCUGGUCUGUAACUGACGCUGAGGCUCGAAAGCAUGGGUAGCAAACAGGAUUAGAUACCCUGGUAGUCCAUGCCGUAAACGAUGAGUGCUAGGUGUUGGAGGGUUUCCGCCCUUCAGUGCCGCAGCUAACGCAUUAAGCACUCCGCCUGGGGAGUACGACCGCAAGGUUGAAACUCAAAGGAAUUGACGGGGGCCCGCACAAGCGGUGGAGCAUGUGGUUUAAUUCGAAGCAACGCGAAGAACCUUACCAGGUCUUGACAUCCUUUGACCACUCUAGAGAUAGAGCUUUCCCUUCGGGGACAAAGUGACAGGUGGUGCAUGGUUGUCGUCAGCUCGUGUCGUGAGAUGUUGGGUUAAGUCCCGCAACGAGCGCAACCCUUAUUACUAGUUGCCAGCAUUUAGUUGGGCACUCUAGUGAGACUGCCGGUGACAAACCGGAGGAAGGUGGGGACGACGUCAAAUCAUCAUGCCCCUUAUGACCUGGGCUACACACGUGCUACAAUGGAUGGUACAACGAGUUGCGAGACCGCGAGGUUUAGCUAAUCUCUUAAAACCAUUCUCAGUUCGGAUUGUAGGCUGCAACUCGCCUACAUGAAGCCGGAAUCGCUAGUAAUCGCGGAUCAGCAUGCCGCGGUGAAUACGUUCCCGGGCCUUGCACACACCGCCCGU